AUGAGACUUGCCUGAGUCAAGCACUACAAUGGUGAUCACAAAAGUGAACAAUUAGAGUACUUGAAUCAACUCCUUCUGGGUGGCCGUGUUUGUUCAGUUUGGGAUGGAGUCGGCACAGGGAGUUGUAGAAGUCCCAGGAGAGGAUCACAGAUGGAGAGGGAAAUCCAGGGGAUGCUGGGAGAUCACUGUAAGUCAAUAAAUUGCUCAAGAAAGCCAUCAGAACAAGGCAAGCUUCCUUGCCUAGUGGAGGUGCGAGAACUGCCGCAGGUCGUUAGGUGGGGGAUGGGCUGAGGCCUGCAUUCAGAUUAGGACGGAGGGCAGGAGUUUGAGGACCGCCUUCAGCUGAUUUGCAAUACACUCCUUACCGGAUACCAAGGAGGAGCUACUACUCCCAGAAAGGAAGAGGCGGUGUCUUUUCCAGCCCCCACUCCCCUUGGAUGAUAAAACCGGAGCCCACAGGAUCCUCAGGAUAGAGCUUCUGUGCCUGCCCGCCUGCAUCUCUCACAAGCAUCCUAUCUUAAUAAAUCUAUUUCUUGCCAAUCACUUGAUCUCUCGCUGAAUUCCUUCUGCUCGGAGACAUGAAGAAUCUGAACCUCAGUGAGUCCAGACACGGGAUAAAAAGAAGGAAGAAUGAAGAAUGAAGUAGUUAAAGAAUGAGUAGCUCUACCUCCAACAGCCUGCUAAAGAAUCCUGCAAGCAGAUCACUCAGGCAAGAUAAUAUCUGAAGAGAGUCAGCCAGUUUGCAGGCAAUGAAGAAUGAUGCAGAACCCAACUUCUUGCCUCCCUGAUUCACUGACAUUCUCCCCCUCAACCCCCAUUUUUCCCUUUAAGAACUACCACGCCUGGCUGAGCAGAAUCUUUGGAGUUGGUCUCUGGACAAGAGUCCACCUUCUCCCCAGAUUGCCAGCUUUUCUGAUUAAAGCACCUUUCUAGUGACACUUCCUCUUGAAUUAUUGGCUUUUGAGCAGUGAGCUGCCAGUGAGUUCCGUAAAACACAUAGACACAAAGAAAGAAGGCAUGUGAUGACAGAGGCAGAAAUUGGAAUGAGGCAGCCAUAAGCCAAGAAAUGCCAAGGAUCGCCGGGAACCAGCAGAAACUAGGAAGAGGCAAGGAAAUAUUCUUCCCUAAAGCUCUUAGACAGAGCAUGGCCCUGCUGACACUUUGAUUUUGGACUUCUAGCCUCCAGAACCGGGAGCAAGUAAAUUUCUCUUGCUUAAGCCGCUCAGUUUGUGGUACUCUGUUGCAGCAGCCCUAGGAAACUAACAUAGUAAGAUAUUGGGGAAGGAGAAAUAUUCUGUAAUCUUAUGAUGAAAUCUCAAUGGGCCUGAGAUCCUGGGCUUGACCUUCAGAAGCAUUUCCUGGCCUUCUUCUCCCAUUACGUGAGACUGGAAGUGUGGCAGGCCUGGAGUUGUCUCAUUGCCCAUCCCCCAGGAGAGAUAAGGUGCUGGGAAAGCAGUUUCCCUUGAUGGAGGGCCUUUGUUAAGAACAGAAUGCUCUGGGCUGUCGAAGUUGUUACAUUCCCUCUGAGCUUCUUUUAAAAGGGUUACUUUUCUCCUCCCCAUCCCUGAAGCUCUAGGAUUAUUUCCCUACUUUCACAGUGAGAACCCAGUAGGGCUCCUGGAGGAAAACCCCAGGAAAGUGUGGGGCCUCCCUAAGACUGGAACCCCAGCAGAUUUUAACUCUCAAUCUGGUCCACACUCAACCUCCAGCAAUUCAUCCAACCAUUGGUACUCCUGCCAAUUGCUGGCUCCAGUGUCGGUUUCUGCUCCUGGUAAGUGGUGAUUCUCUGUGUUUCCUUCUCUCUCCAGAUUUCAGGGUGACGGUUUCCCCCAUGAUCUGAAUUGUCCAAUAAAUCUAAGAUAAGUUGUUGCUUUUCAGUUUAUUCAGCUUUUUUCAUGUGAGGAUGGAAGUAGCAACUUCCAAGUCUUUAAAUGUAAGAGCUGACCUAUGGUUUUUGUUAUCCAGGAUUGUACAUCAUACUGUCACAGGUUCCUUGGUCCCUGUCUCACUGCAACAAAGCAUUGGAAUGGUAGAUGUUUUAUAAAUGUAUUAAAGUGAAAGUACAUUUUUAGAGAGGGAGAGAGAGAACUCAGGUUGAAAAGAGGGCCCGGCUCACUCUGCAAUAGUCUUUAUACCCCACAAUGCCACCCGAGUGGAGACACAAUUUGAUCUUUUGAUUGGUCUUAGGCAGGCCACUUUAUUUGCAUGGGGAACAGGUUAUAUGGUGCCCGGGUGAGGAAUGGGCGACAUUCCUUCUCUAGCAAGGAGUGAGAAGCCCAGGCUGGCCAAGGUGGGGCAAGGGACAUUACAAUGGGACAUGGCCAGAGCCCUUUGGGUUUAAUCUCCUUGAAGGGACCUUGAAGCCUAUAACAUACCUGGUUUUGUAUUGCAAUUCAAUCUCCCUGCUAAAUCUUUUUUCCUUUUUAAAGGCAUUUUUUCCUCUCUGCUGAAGACUAUAGAGAACAGACAUGGAGUAACAAAAAUGAAAUACACGGGAAAGUUAGAAAGGUCCAGGAUCAUAGAAAAUCUCUCAGAGCGAUGACUUUCUGGUCUGCGAUUCUGAUGUCCCUUCUAGAAAUUUCUUGAAACCUAAGUUACCUCUCUCUGCAUCUGACCUUGGUGGAUGGCGAUCACUGCUGCCAGAAUAUCUUGUUCUUCUUAAAAGUUAUUUAUUGUGUGUUUCCUUGUCUUGCUGUUACUUUGCAGGCAAUUUGAGGUCCAAAUUGCAAGACUGCAGGCAGCUGCCCUUGAUAGCUGCCUGCAGUCUUGCACAAAUCAGUUUGUGAUUAGUACUCUGAGAAAGUCGACCUUUUGUUGAAUCGGGUCCCCCCACUCCCCCACCCCCGCUGAUCUGGUGUAGAAUGAAUCAUAUGUAUUACUGAGUGAUCACUUCCUAGUGUAUGUGCCAGGCACGCAUUCAUGUGUCUAUCCUGUGGGCCUGGCUCUAUAAAGAACAGACGACCCCUAGGAAGAACCUUUUUGAGCCUGACAACUAGAAAUUUGCCCAGACCGUCAAAGCAUGAUCAUUAUACAAAACUUGGGCACUACACCUAAAUAUAAAGAGGAAAAUUAAAAUGAUCCAUAAUCCCGUAGUCAUUAUUUUGGUAUAUAUCUGUUAGGGAAUCAUUGACUGAAACUGCCCACCUUGGCCAGGCAGGUAAUAGCCACGUGCAUGAGUUGUCUCACAGCAGGAAGCCCUGAUAAGGACCUUGGUGCUGCCCUGAAGGCUAACCAGGAGAAUUUGGGAGGGGCCAAUAGGAAGGGGGAGAUGACCAACAUCCCAGCAUCCUUGGCGCUGAAAUCCAUCUUGGCUGAGAGGUGCGUGCACCGCCAGGAAGGACCCUGGGCCAGACCAAAUAUGGGCUGAGCAAGACAACUGGCCAGAGAAAACUUGGAAACUAACCCCAUCCCCAUAAAACCUGAGACAGUUCUCCUGGGUUCUCUUAUCCUGCUGCUCUCCACCUGGGAACACCUUCCCAAUAAAGUCUUUUUGCUUUGCC